AACAGACGGGCUGGGAGCAGACUGGCUGGAAAGUAGGUCAGCCAAAAAGCACCUGGGGGUCUGCUGCACACCAGUUUGAGGGAGUCUCUGAUAGAAUGUACAAUGUUCUGCAGAAAUAUUAAUAUAAGGUAUGUUUGUGAUAGACUGGCUAUAGAAGACAGUGGUAUGUUUAACAGCAUUGUCACACUUUAGGGGCAGCUUUUGAUUGUGAACUGCAUUUGGAAAGGCCCUACCCUACUGUGAAAUGUGCCCGAGGACCAGGAGGGUCAGCAUGGUCUCAUUGCAGGCUGGAACCUACUCCAACCUGACAGAGAAUGCUCCUCAGCUCCAUUCCACCCACUGCCAGGAGCUCUGCUGAGUUCCCUUUUGAGCUGAAGGCAAAGGCACCCCCUGUCAGGCAUGAAGUUAAGUACAUGCACAACACAGAACCAGCCCCAAGGCUCACAUACCUGUUCCACUGAGUGCAGAUAUGCUAGUGGCUUGGAUUUUCAAAUUAAAAUUCCAAAUCUACCAUCCAAGAUUGCUUGAGACAAAAUGCUUAUAAGUUUUACCAGCUGAGAUUUGCUUGGGGACAUUUUUUUUCAUAACAUGGGAUGUGCUUCCAUUCACUUCUGAAUAAAUACAUGUCAGACAAGUCAAGAACACACUCACUCAUGGAUAUAAUUUUUUUUAUGCUGUUUGUUUGUUCAACUCCACUGGAACUCUUAACCUGAA